AUUGAACGCUGGCGGCAGGCCUAACACAUGCAAGUCGAGCGGAUGACGGGAGCUUGCUCCUUGAUUCAGCGGCGGACGGGUGAGUAAUGCCUAGGAAUCUGCCUGGUAGUGGGGGACAACGUUUCGAAAGGAACGCUAAUACCGCAUACGUCCUACGGGAGAAAGCAGGGGACCUUCGGGCCUUGCGCUAUCAGAUGAGCCUAGGUCGGAUUAGGUAGUUGGUGGGGUAAUGGCUCACCAAGGCGACGAUACGUAACUGGUCUGAGAGGAUGGUCAGUCACACUGGAACUGAGACACGGUCCAGACUCCGACGGGAGGCAGCAGUGGGGAAUAUUGGACAAUGGGCGAAAGCCUGAUCCAGCCAUGCCGCGUGUGUGAAGAAGGUCUUCGGAUUGUAAAGCACUUUAAGUUGGGAGGAAGGGCAGUAAGCUAAUACCUUGCUGUUUUGACGUUACCGACAGAAUAAGCACCGGCUAACUCUGUGCCAGCCGCCGUAAGAC
rnacentral:rRNA from 1 species